GAUGAUGGAGUCGGUUUUUAAAACAUUGCUUUCUGCACCUCUUACUCUCUCUGUCUCUCUACAGGCAGCCAUGGUGUCGCAAUACGGAAUCAAACUCGCCGCCUAUUUGAUUUCAUCUUCCUAUAGCGACUUUUGCUCUAAAGUAUGUGAGUGUUUGCUCAGCUCAGGAACCCUAACUCUCGUUCAAAUAAUUCGUUUCACAGAGCUCAGCAGAGAAAAUGUCAUAAACUGAUUACGCGUUUUGAUUCACCAAAAUUGUGUCCAAGCCUUCUCCAUUCGGCAAGAAGUUGCAUUUGGCGAGGCGUCAAAAAUUGUUACGAAGUAUACGGCGCUAUUUGACAACAUGAUUCACAAAAUGAGGUUCCCAAAAUUCAUGCAAAUUGUUUCUGAAGAGCUUGGGGAAGAUUGCCUAGGAUUUUUGAGGGAUUGCUUCAACAUGGAAGGCUUUCACUUAAUCAGAUAGGAAUAAGCAGACACCAGCUGGCACCUUAAAAAAAAACCUUCUCAGCCCAUAUAUUUCCUUUACCAUCUAUGUUCUCCUCUGCCACCCCUCCCCACCCAAAAAUAAAUAAAAAAAAUAGAAGAGAAGAUUCCUUUUGCAUCAUGAAACUGCCUCAUCUUUUGUGCUGUAAAGCAUUCUUAAUCUUAAUGACAUGAUUUUCUAGAGUUAAAAUAUAUUUUCUUUCUCCUCUCAUUAUCUUGGAACUGCCUCAUCUCUUUGCCAUGUUAUUCUUCGACGGAGUGGGUAUAUGGAGGUCGGGGGAAUUGGAUCGCUCUGAUAUGCAUUAAACAACUUUAUUACACUGAAGGUUCAAAUUAUUUGCAAAGAUAAUUCUGAUGUACAUGCUGUGCGAGAAAGCUUUAGUAGACUUCUGAACACCCGUUUUGUUGAACGCUGUCCUGCCUCUGAGCCAUUUCUUGUGCCUCAUGAAGAAGAAACUCCAACAAAGAAAGGGGAACCAAAUCGGCUAAGAUUGUUGAAGCACCAAAGACCAUAGAACAGCCGGCCUUGGCAGCGGAUGCUCCAUUGGAGUCAAUAAGAUUCUUGAUGGAAAUUGACAGCUUGACUGGUGCCUCUGAGGAGAAGGGUAUGGAAAGUCACAAUAUUGCAAAGCUUGAUGAGAAGUGGAAGCAAGAAUUCUCAGAAGCAGAAUUGUCAGCUUCUGGUAAAAAGAAAGAAAUUGUCUCGCCUGUAAAUUUCGAAGAAUUCGUGCGUCGUCUGAGGCAUAAGGCUUGCAUAGAAUAUGUUAGAAUACGACUCCAAGAUCAGUCUGGCAUUGUUCUAAGUGCAAUUCUGGAGUUGACUAGAAGUUCAGAGACUAGACUAAAAACUGAUAAAUCAGUUAACUUCCUUAUUUCCAUGAAAUUGCUUGAUUUUAGAUUUUUUGCUGUCCUAUUUAUUUUCAGUAUGGUGUUUACUGAAAACUUCACCAUCAUAUUGUUCAAAAUUUGAUCAGUGGUUAGAAAUAACAAAAUGUAAUUAGGAAAUAUAGAAAUAUCUUAUGUAAGGGGGUAAUGGAAUAUCUAACUAAUUACCAAUAAUCUCCCAUUAGUUUAAUGCAAGAUAUAUUGAUUGUUUGGUUACAUUAUAAUCACCUUAUAAUUUAAAGGUCAAAGUCAAACGUUAAUAUAGCCACACAUUUCGGAUGACCCACAGGCCACAACUACUACUCGAUUAUCCAACACACGUCUAUCAAUUGAUAAUUUCAGUAACUUGUAAUUUCUCCCAAACAAACACUUGUUAAGUUGAUUAACAAGUUUGAAGGUUAUGUUUAGUUAGAUGGAUGGAGACCCAAGUGUUUAGUUUAGAGUAUGAAUUAGCUUAUUGUUGAUGCUGAUAAGUUAUUUUGUUACGACUUUGAAUUCCAUCUUAAAAUGUCAACUUGUUAAGAGGAGUAACCCAAGAAUUUAUAAGUUGGUCUAUGGGAUUUUAUUUCUUAACAUGCCUUCACAAAUUGGUGGCUCAUUUGAGCGGACCAAUUUUGAAAAAUGUAUUAUCAAUUUUUUAGUCUUAAUUAGAUUGAAUUGCUCGUUAGAGCUUAAUAAGCUCUGAUACCAUGUUAAGAUUUGGGGUUCCAUUUAAAAGUUCAACCUUGUUAAGAGGAGUAGCUUAAGAACUUAUAAGUUGGUCUAUAUUUUCAUCUUUAUUCGAUGUGGGAUUUUAUCCCUUAACAUAUAUAAAUCUUCAUUCCUCAUCAUGUUUUCAUGAAAGCAACCAGACAAAAUUAUUAUGUUAUGAGUUGAUUAUCUUCACACUGGCAAAGAAUAAAAAAGGUAAUGUGAACCCCGAAUGAUUUCAAUGAGCAUGUAGUUAAUUGCAAUCAUAACAACAAACUGAAGAAGCUGAGAAAAGAAAGGAUACUAUUUAUUUCCCAAUUCUCAUGGUCAUUAACUGACAGUGCUGUUGGGUUUAGUUUGCAUCAUGUUUUCCUGUUGUGCUUAACUGGUUUGAAAAAGAAGUAAUUUUAUUGCAAUUGAAACCAAGGGUGUAUAUAUAUCAUUUUUGUCCAUUCCACCUGUCUCCCACGAAGUUUCUUGCAAAUUUUGAGGUUUAAAAUAUUGAACUAAAAAUUGUUUGUUCCAUGUGGUAUUACGCAUGCUUUUUUGUAGCAUCCAAUAUCACAGAGUGCUAGUGGGCCUGACGUUAGCUCAUCCUUACCACCACGGGUUCCAUAAUGUCCUGAUGCUUUCGACUUCCUACUUAUGUGUGUUGUCAUGCACUAGGAGGUUAUAAUGUGGAAUUAUCACGAGUGAAAGACUGAUAGUGCCCUGUCCUCUGAAAUUUUUCCAUUUUCCAUAUAUUUUUUCAUCUGGAAAUACUUCAGCGCGUACCACUUUCUCAUCUAACUUAUAAAGAAAAAUUUUCAGCUUCCCUGUAAUAAAUGAUAUUUACGAUGAGGUGAUGAAGAAGGAUGAUGGUCUUGGCAUGGAUUUAGAACGUAUCAGAGCUUCUCUCGUCCAGCUUGGUUGUCAAAUCCCCACAACUGGGAUAGAUGAAACAUAUAGUAUUGAUACUCAUACUUUAUAGUAGAGAGCUAAAUUGUGGCUGUGGAAUGUUUUAAAUAUUUCUGAGAAUAAUGUGUACCAUUUCUCUCUCAUGUUUGAUGCUUUUGUUUCCCUACUGAUUUAAAGAACAUUAUGAACAGGCUCAACAUUAAGAGGAGGAAUCUGUUGUAUUGGAAAGAUAUGAAAGGGAAGCCAAUAGGAUUUUCAGGUACUUUUCGAAGCCUGGCCAUCAUCUUCAGACUGAUAAGAAAGAAUUGAUGCUCAUUCUACCUGAAAGCUAGUUAAGUUUCACUUCAGAUUUCAUCGAAUAUAACAGAGAAGAUCUCCAUGACACUCCUAAACGAAGCUAUUUCAAAGAAUGUUUUUCUGCCAAAGGAUGCGUGCAAACAACAGCUUAAAACUUGAAUUUAAGUCUCCAACACGGACAAAUCUCUCAUCAAAACCAUUUUCAACUAUACAAUAUAACUUGUUUGAAUAGACAUCUAUAACAUGCAAGCAUCUACCUCUUCAUACAUCUGAAAUGUCUCUAUAGAACGAAUCUGCAUUUAGUGAUUGUCGGCUACCAAUUUUGAGCCCAGGUUAGAGGGUUAGUUGUCUUUGGCUCAUUCUUAAUAUUUGCAUUGAAACUGCAGUACAAACUGGUAUGGGAAUUUUUGCAGCAUUUUGUGAUGUGUGCAAAAUUACAAAUCAUGUAUAGAAAUAUAUGGACUUUAUUUUAAUCCAAUCGUGUUCUAAUUU